rnacentral:piRNA from 1 species
UUCUAGCACCUCUACCUUACCUUACUGGU